CCCUUAGAUGUUCUGGGCCGCACGCGCGCUACACUGUUCGACGCAGCGAGUCUUAACCUUGACCGAAAGGUUUGGGUAAUCUUCAGCAAAGUCGAACGUGAUGGGGAUCGAUCAUUGCAAUUAUUGAUCGUGAACGAGGAAUUCCCAGUAAGCGCGAGUCAUAAGCUCGCGUUGAUUACGUCCCUGCCCUUUGUACACACCGCCCGUCGCUACUACCGAUUGAACGGUUUAGUGAGGGCCUCGGAUUGGUCUCGGCCCGCUCUUUACCGGGCGGCGCCGUUGGUCGAGAAGACGCUCGAACUUGAUCGUUUAGAGGAAGUAAAAGUCGUAACA
rnacentral:rRNA from 1 species